CCCGUAGCUCAGUUGGUUAGAGCAGCGGACUCAUAAUCCGAAGGUCGUGGGAUCAUGCCCCUCCGGGUCC
rnacentral:tRNA from 1 species